GACAGAGGGUGCAAACGUUGUUCGGAUUUAUUGGGCGUAAAGAGCGUGUAGGCGGCCAGACAGGUCCGUUGUGAAAACUCGAGGCUCAACCUCGAGACGUCGAUGGAAACCGUCUGGCUAGAGUCCGGAAGAGGAGAGUGGAAUUCCUGGUGUAGCGGUGAAAUGCGCAGAUAUCAGGAAGAACACCCGUGGCGAAGGCGGCUCUCUGGGACGGUACUGACGCUGAGACGCGAAAGCGUGGGGAGCGAACAGG
rnacentral:rRNA from 1 species